GAGGGUAUAGUCCUAUGGUAGAGUGCCUGCUUAGCAUGCACGAAGUCCUGGGUUCAAUCCCCAGUACCACUU
rnacentral:tRNA from 1 species